AGGGGUUUGCCUAGUACGGCGAGUGAAGCGGCAACAGCUCAAAUUUGAAAGCUAGCCUUCGGGUUCGCAUUGUAAUUUGUAGAGGAUGAUUUGGGGAAGCCGCCUGUCUAAGUUCCUUGGAACAGGACGUCAUAGAGGGUGAGAAUCCCGUAUGUGACAGGAAAUGGCACCCUAUGUAAAUCUCCUUCGACGAGUCGAGUUGUUUGGGAAUGCAGCUCUAAAUGGGAGGUAAAUUUCUUCUAAAGCUAAAUAUUGGCGAGAGACCGAUAGCGCACAAGUAGAGUGAUCGAAAGAUGAAAAGCACUUUGGAAAGAGAGUUAAAAAGCACGUGAAAUUGUUGAAAGGGAAGCGCUUGCAAUCAGACUUGUUUAAACUGUUCGGCCGGUCUUCUGACCGGUUUACUCAGUUUGGACAGGCCAGCAUCAGUUUCGGCGGCCGGAUAAAGGCUCUGGGAAUGUGGCCUCCACUUCGGUGGAGGUGUUAUAGCCCAGGGUGUAAUACGGCCAGCCGGGACUGAGGUCCGCGCUUCGGCUAGGAUGCUGGCGUAAUGGUUGUAAGCGACCCGUCUUGAAACACGGACCAA
rnacentral:rRNA from 1 species